rnacentral:lncRNA from 1 species
GAGAACAAAAAAAGAGGUUCGUGGUUUCUUAGGUAGAUUGAACUGCAUUUCACGGUUCAUAUCUCAUCUGAUAGCCACGUGGGAACCCAUUCAAGAAAAGAAAAGAUCAAACGGUCAGGUGAAAUAAUGAUUGCCAAGGGGCAUUGAGAAAUAAAAGAAUAAGUUGCAGGAACCUCCGAUUCUGUUGCCUCCCUAUGGAGAGAGACCUUAAAUCCUAUACUUGACAGCCCUCGAGGAGUCUAUGAGGUGUGUAUUGGGGCAGCAUGACGAGUCUGGUCGAAAAG